rnacentral:rRNA from 1 species
GCAUAUCAAUAAGCGGAGGAAAAGAAUCUAACCAGGAUUCCCCUAGUAACGGCGAGUGAAGCGGGAACAGCUCAAAUUUUAAAUCUGGCCGGCGUGGUCGGUCCUGAGUUGUAAUUUGAAGAAGCGGUUAUCACGUUUUCGUUUGGGUUUAAGUUCCUUGGAACAGGACAUCAGAGAGGGUGAGAAUCCCGUCUGUGAUCCAAUCGGUUACGGUACGAUAUCGUUUCUAAGAGUCGAGUUGUUUGGGAUUGCAGCUCAAAAUGGGUGGUAAAUUCCAUCUAAGGCUAAAUAUAGGCGAGAGACCGAUAGCGAACAAGUACCGUGAGGGAAAGAUGAAAAGCACUUUGAAAAGAGAGUUAAACAGUACGUGAAAUUGUUGAUAGGGAAACGAUUGAAGUCAGUCGUGCCAGCGAGAAAUCAGCUCACAGGCUACUGUGGGUGCACUUUUUCGCAAGGCAGGUUAACAUCGAUUUUUGUUACGUCAUAAUGAUUGUAGGAAGGUGGCUCCUUCGGGAGUGUUAUAGCCUACUUUAGAUGGCGUGAUAGAGAUCGAGGAUUGCAGCGAAUGCCUUUAGGCUACGGGUCUGUUCUCUGUCGAUUGUCAAUUGGACUUCAGCAAGCUGAGGCACGGUUGAAUAAUUUACAAUAGAAUGGAAUCCGAUAAAUUCGCUAAGGAUGUUGACGUAAUGGCUUUAAACGAC